rnacentral:rRNA from 1 species
AUUGAACGCUGGCGGCAGGCCUAACACAUGCAAGUCGAACGGUAACAGGAAGAAGCUUGCUUCUUUGCUGACGAGUGGCGGACGGGUGAGUAAUGUCUGGGAAACUGCCUGAUGGAGGGGGAUAACUACUGGAAACGGUAGCUAAUACCGCAUAACGUCGCAAGACCAAAGAGGGGGACCUUCGGGCCUCUUGCCACCGGAUGUGCCCAGAUGGGAUUAGCUAGUAGGUGGGGUAACGGCUCACCUAGGCGACGAUCCCUAGCUGGUCUGAGAGGAUGACCAGCCACACUGGAACUGAGACACGGUCCAGACUCCUACGGGAGGCAGCAGUGGGGAAUAUUGCACAAUGGGCGCAAGCCUGAUGCAGCCAUGCCGCGUGUAUGAAGAAGGCCUUCGGGUUGUAAAGUACUUUCAGCGGGGAGGAAGGGAGUAAAGUUAAUACCUUGGCUCAUUGACGUUACCCGCAGAAGAAGCACCGGCUAACUCCGUG